rnacentral:rRNA from 1 species
AGGGCACCACCAGGAGUGGAGCCUGCGGCUUAAUUUGACUCAACACGGGAAAACUCACCCGGCCCGGACACUGGAAGGAUUGACAGAUUGAGAGCUCUUUCUUGAUUCAGUGGGUGGUGGUGCAUGGCCGUUCUUAGUUGGUGGAGCGAUUUGUCUGGUUAAUUCCGAUAACGAACGAGACUCUAGCCUACUAAAUAGAUCGUCGGCUUACAAACGCCGAUGAGACUUCUUAGAGGGACAGGCGGCGAUUCAGCCGCACGAAACAGAGCAAUAACAGGUCUGUGAUGCCCUUAGAUGUCCGGGGCCGCACGCGCGCUACACUGAAGUGAUCAGCGUGCAUUUUCAGCCUACUCUGCCAAGAGUGGGAAACCCAAUGAACCUUCUUCGUGAUUGGGAUAGGGGAUUGUAAUUAUUCCCCUUGAGCGAGGAAUUCCCAGUAAGCGCGAGUCAUAAGCUCGCGUUGAUUACGUCCCUGCCCUUUGUACACACCGCCCGUCGCUACUCCGAUUGAUGGUUUAG